UCAGGUAAAGAAAGCUGUUUCAAAUCACAAAAAUCCAAGGGUAAAAUCUGGAAAUGGUUUCUACGGUACUGUUCGUGGAAGCGGGUUCAAAACAGACUCCUGGAAAAUGGGUCUCCACUUGAAAGAAAUUAGGAUAGUAGAAGAACAAUGCAAUUCAAUAAUGGAGAAACUGAACUAUACUAUAUUUGAUCCAGAACUCAAAUCUACUGAUAAAAAAGUCUAAAUAAAUUAGUUAAACAA